CUUUCUGAUGCUGGUGUUCUUAGGUCAUCUGGCAGCCUCUAGGUUCAGGAAAUGGAAAGGAUGGCCUGUCAUGCUCCAUGUUUCUCUCAGUCCCCACUUCUAUGGCCAUACCAGAGAUGACUUUGCAGUAUGCAGCUUAGUAUGCAUCCAGCACAGACUUUUCUCCAGGUGUGUGAGUUAACGAUGAAUGCUUCAGCACUUCCCUGGCCAUGCAUAAACAUCUACAUGCAAAACAGCAAGGAGCGCUCUGUUUAUCACAGCUGCAGUCAAGCCAACGAAACUGUUUCUACCAUUGAAGAUGAAAUUGUAAAGUUCUAUCUCGAAAAUUAAAAUAAAAUAAACAUCUUAUUCA
rnacentral:lncRNA from 1 species